UCAACUCUACAUUAGCUUGAUCAUCAACCUUGCUUGAAAUCUGAUCAGUCUGCACUGUUGCAACUGGUGGAUUAACAGCUUCCUCAGCCUGCUUUUGGGUUCCAUCAAUUGCUACACUCUUCUUUACUAGCCAUUCCUUCUUCUUUUGCUUCCCCUGCUGUAUUUGUUUAGCUUUCUCUCUCCUUAUGUCUUUUUGCUCUUUCACAUGAUUGUCUGAAUUCCCAGAAGAAUACCAACACUCAAUUGUGUCAUGAC
rnacentral:lncRNA from 1 species